rfam:Nannochloropsis gaditana CCMP526 unplaced genomic scaffold scaffold039, whole genome shotgun sequence.
ACCCUGUCACAACGGCUUCCUGGCGUGGCGGGCACAUUAAAUGGAGCA